UAGGUCUCGACCAAAUCUUGUGCCAGCAGUCGCGGUAAGACAAGGGAGACGAGUGUUAUUCAUCUUUAACAGGUAUAUAGGGUACCUAGACGGUGUGCAAUGGCUUAAAUAAGUACCUGGUACACUUGAGUUUGAUAUGUGAGAGGAAUAUGUCGGAAUUGUUGGAGGAAAGAUGAAAUUUGUUAAUACCAAUAGGACUGAUAACGGCGAAGGCAAACCUCUAUGUACAUGUACUUGCUAUUUCUGUUUUUAUUAUAGCAAAAUAGCAAUGUACUAUAACUGACGUUGAGGGACGAAGGCUCAGAGAGUGAAGAGGAUUAGAUACCCCCGUAACCUGGGCAGACAAUGAUGAGUGCCAUAGGUUGGCUUUAAGGCGGAACUAUAAAUGAAAGUGGAAGCACUCCACCUCAAGAGUAAUGUUGCC
rnacentral:rRNA from 1 species